CACCAUAUAGCUCAGUGGGUUGAGCAGGUGCCCCAUAUGCAGAGGCUACAGUCCUCGCUGCAUCCGGCCCCGGUUCGAAUCCUGAAUCUGGUGG